rnacentral:rRNA from 1 species
GAGUUUGAUCCUGGCUCAGGACGAACGCUGGCGGCGUGCCUAAUACAUGCAAGUCGAGCGAGCUUGCCUAGAUGAAUUUGGUGCUUGCACCAAAUGAAACUAGAUACAAGCGAGCGGCGGACGGGUGAGUAACACGUGGGUAACCUGCCCAAGAGACUGGGAUAACACCUGGAAACAGAUGCUAAUACCGGAUAACAACACUAGACGCAUGUCUAGAGUUUAAAAGAUGGUUCUGCUAUCACUCUUGGAUGGACCUGCGGUGCAUUAGCUAGUUGGUAAGGUAACGGCUUACCAAGGCAAUGAUGCAUAGCCGAGUUGAGAGACUGAUCGGCCACAUUGGGACUGAGACACGGCCCAAACUCCUACGGGAGGCAGCAGUAGGGAAUCUUCCACAAUGGACGCAAGUCUGAUGGAGCAACGCCGCGUGAGUGAAGAAGGGUUUCGGCUCGUAAAGCUCUGUUGGUAGUGAAGAAAGAUAGAGGUAGUAACUGGCCUUUAUUUGACGGUAAUUACUUAGAAAGUCACGGCUAACUACGUGCCAGCAGCCGCGGUAAUACGUAGGUGGCAAGCGUUGUCCGGAUUUAUUGGGCGUAAAGCGAGUGCAGGCGGUUCAAUAAGUCUGAUGUGAAAGCCUUCGGCUCAACCGGAGAAUUGCAUCAGAAACUGUUGAACUUGAGUGCA